rnacentral:lncRNA from 1 species
ACUAGACCAUUUAGGAUUAUAUGUAUAUUAAGCAUGCAUACAUACAUAGAGUAUGUGGUUAUACUUAUUAUAUAUACUACAGUAGUGGCAUUUUUGUAAUAUUUUUUAUAAAAAUAUGGAUUUCUUUGAAAAUUUUUUGCGUGGUAAGAUCUAGAAUAUGAGUAUAUAAAUAUAUUCAAAUCGAUCAACAAGUAUGAACACAUACACAAUGUUGUUCAAUAAACUAUACUUUAGGCUAUAACUUUUGGAUUUUGACCGCUAUAAUUUGGCCCUAGUCUUCACUAAAUCCUGGGUCCACCACUGUAUAGGAGUCUACUAAAUAGUAUGAAUGAACCCAAUUAUCUUAUUUCUUUCUUAUUCGGGAAGGCAUGAAUCCAAUUAACCCAAGUUUUCUUCUCUCUAUAAUACCAUCAUUUCCUAGUAGGCUGCAAUUGGAGGUCUAUUGAUAAACAUAAAUGGGAGGGUUGUUGGAAUGCUUUUUCAAAGUCUCACUUGUACUCCUUUCCUACCAUCUAGCAUCAUUUUAAGAUAUUGGGAAAAUAUUAAAAGUACAUGGUAUGGUUCUUAUUGAUUGAUCAUUGUCAUCUUUGGUGUAUUAGAUGGGAAUAAGCUCAUUCAUUCUGGUUGAGAAAAAUCUUAUAUUAGAUGCAUAUAAGAUGAGAAACUAUCAAUAGAUUUUAGAAUAAAUGGGAUCCAACUUACUAGAUUAUUUUCCUAAGAUAAGCAUGAACGGCGGUGGUGGCGCCUCUUCCUCUCCGGAGGGGCGCGCCCCUCCUUCUGCUUGAAGUCGGACCCGAGAGGGAAGGGGAGCCUCUGGCCACCGGCCUGGUCCAUGGCGGCCGGGUCGUGUGGCUGGAGGUUGCGCCCUUCCCAAUCCGCGCCAGUGCUAGCCACUGGGCGCAUGGGCACGGCGGCGGACGGACAUGGCGAGGGCGGGCGGUGGCCGUCGGCGGCGUCAGCAGGCAGUUCCAGCUGCGAGCGCUCGCGUCAACAGGCGCUUGCGGGCGGGCGCUGGCGGCAGUGGCGGCUCCGGCGGCAGCGUGCGCAUGGCGGCAGCCGGCGCUCGAGGCUGCAGGCGUUCGCGGCACAGGAAGGGCGACGAAGGAGGCAGGGACGGCGGCGCUCCUCGGGGCGGAGGCGGCGGCACCCUGGCCG